GACGAACGCUGGCGGCGUGCUUAACACAUGCAAGUCGUACGAAGUGGAGAACGGGUGAGUAACGCGUAAUCAACCUGCCCUUCAGAGGGGGAUAACAGUUGGAAACGACUGCUAAUACCGCAUACAGAAGUGGGGGAGUGCGUCUGGUUAGCUGGUUGGAGGGGUAACGGCCCACCAAGGCGAUGGUCAGUAGCCGGCCUGAGAAGAUGAACGGCCACAUUGGGACUGAGACACGGCCCAGACUCCUACGGGAGGCAGCAGUGGGGAAUCUUCCGCAAUGGACGAAAGUCUGACGGAGCAACGCCGCGUGAGUGAUGACGGCCUUCGGGUUGUAAAGCGCUGUUAAUCGGGACGCGGUACCGGAAUAGAAAGCCACGGCUAACUACGUGCCAGCAGUCGCGGUAAUAC
rnacentral:rRNA from 1 species